AGCAGCCGCGGUAAUUCCAGCUCCAAUAGCGUAUAUUAAAGUUGUUGCAGUUAAAAAGCUCGUAGUUGAAUUUCGGGGUCAGUAGGUCGGUCGUGCCACUGGUAUGAACUGGUUUUACUGAUUCCUCCCUCUUGAAGAACUGUAAUGCCAUUAAUUUGGUGUUGCAGGGAAUCAGGACUGUUACUUUGAGAAAAUUAGAGUGUUUAAAGCAGGCUUUAGCUUGAAUACAUUAGCAUGGAAUAAUGAAAUAGGACGUUUGAUCCUAUUUUGUUGGUUUCUAGGAUUGACGUAAUGAUUAAUAGGGAUAGUUGGGGGCAUUAGUAUUCAAUUGUCAGAGGUGAAAUUCUUGGAUUUAUUGAAGACUAACUACUGCGAAAGCAUUUGCCAAGGAUGUUUUCAUUAAUCAAGAACGAAAGUUAGGGGAUCGAAGACGAUCAGAUACCGUCGUAGUCUUAACCAUAAACUAUG
rnacentral:rRNA from 1 species